rnacentral:rRNA from 1 species
UACGAAGGGAGCUAGCGUUGUUCGGAAUCACUGGGCGUAAAGCGCACGUAGGCGGAUUUGCCAGUCAGGGGUGAAAUCCCGGGGCUCAACCUCGGAACUGCCUUUGAUACAGCAAGUCUUGAGUUCGAGAGAGGUGGGUGGAAUUCCUAGUGUAGAGGUGAAAUUCGUAGAUAUUAGGAAGAACGCCGGUGGCGAAGGCGGCCCACUGGCUCGAUACUGACGCUGAGGUGCGAAAGCGUGGGGAGCAAACAGG